rnacentral:rRNA from 1 species
CAGUCGCCACGGUAAUACGGAGGGUGCAAGCGUUAAUCGGAAUUACUGGGCGUAAAGCGUGCGUAGGCGGUUCGUUAAGUCUGUUGUGAAAGCCCCGGGCUCAACCUGGGAAUGGCAAUGGAUACUGGCGAGCUAGAGUGUGUCAGAGGAUGGUGGAAUUCCCGGUGUAGCGGUGAAAUGCGUAGAGAUCGGGAGGAACAUCAGUGGCGAAGGCGGCCAUCUGGGACAACACUGACGCUGAGGCACGAAAGCGUGGGGAGCAAACAGGAUUAGAUACCCCAGUAGUCCCUGUCUCUUAUAA